GGAGAGGCGCACAGCGCAGGCGCUGGCGCGGAGAGGCGCAGGCCCAGGUCCACUCCCCAGCUGUGAAAGGAGGAGCUCUACGGUGACUUUGAAGACUUGGAAACAGGGGACAUGCACAAGGGAAAAUCGGGCCCCGACACUCAGAAUGAAGAUAUAGAGAAACAAGGAAGAAAUUGACCCCGACGAAGAAGAAAGUGCCAAGAAAAAGCAUUUGGAUAAGAAGAGAAAAUUGAAGGAGAUGUUUGAUGCGGAAUAUGAUGAAGGAGAAAGCACAUAUUUUGAUGAUCUUAAAGGAGAAAUGCAGAAAGAAGCACAGCUGAAUCACGUAGAAUUUGAAGAUCAAGAUGAUGAAGCCAGAGUUCAGUAUGAUGGUUUUCGACCUGGGAUAUGCGUCUGAAGAAACAUCGCUGGUAUAAGAAAAUCCUCAAGUCCCAAGAUCCAAUCAUAUUUUCUGUAGGGUGGAGGAGGUUUCAGACCAUCCUGCUCUAUUAUAUUGAAGACCACAAUGGAAGACAAAGGCUUCUAAAGUAUACCCCACAGCACAUGCAUUGUGGAGCAGCCUUUUGGGGUAAAAUAUGAUUACAAUAACUUGCCUAUUGCCGAGAUUAAACUUUACAGGCUGCGUUAUUUUAGCUUUGUGCUUUUCCUUUCAUAAAAUUCCACUCCUAAGAUGUUUCUGUUUUCUGGGAGCGGGGAGGUGGUUUGGAGUAUAUAUGUAAAUCUAUAUCCAAAUCUAAAUGUCCGUAUCCAGUAUGUUAAACUAGAAUCUAAAAUUUCUGGUUUGCUAUAUUUCUUUUUUUCCUUUUCCUUUAAGACCCUAUCACUCCACAGGGAACUGGUUUCUUGGCAAUACAGUCUGUCAGUGGCAUAAUGGUAACUAUCUUGGACAAUUUCUUUUACAGAUUGGUUUGAGAAAUAUAUCCUGAAUGUGGGUUAUUAUGUACAUGAGACUUUAAGUUGAAAAUUACUCAUUUUUAUUAUUAUAAAGUAAAUUUCCCUUUGCUUUUAAUCUUUGUACAUCCUUUUCAGUAGGGUGUGGGAUUAGAGGAGGGGAGGUGGAAGAAUUAUAAUGGUACAUUUCC
rnacentral:lncRNA from 1 species